rnacentral:rRNA from 1 species
UACGUAGGGGGCAAGCGUUGUCCGGAAUGACUGGGCGUAAAGGGCGUGUAGGCGGCCAGGUAAGUUGGGAGUGAAAUCCCCUUUUUCAAGGAGGGGGCUGCUCUCAAAACUGCCAGGCUUGAGUGCGGAAGAGGUAAGUGGAAUUCCCAGUGUAGCGGUGAAAUGCGCAGAGAUUGGGAGGGACACCAGUGGCGAAGGCGACUUACUGGGCCGUAACUGACGCUGAGGCGCGAAAGCGUGGGGAGCAAAC